GAUGAACGCUGGCGGCGUGCCUAAUACAUGCAAGUCGAGCGAACAGACGAGGAGCUUUCUCUUCUGACGUUAGCGGCUGACGGGUGAGUAACACGUGGAUAACCUACCUAUUUUUCUUGGAUAACUUCGUGAAACCGGAUCUAAUACCGCCUAAUAUAUUUUACCGCAUGGUUCAUUAGUUAAUGACGCUUUUGCUGUCCCUUUUAGCUGGAUUCGCGCUGCAUUAGUUAGUUGGUAAGGUAACGGCUUACCAAGGCGACGAUGCGUAGCCGACCUGAGAGGGUGAUCGGCAACACUGGAACUGAGACACGGUCCAGACUCCUACGGGAGGCAGCAGUGGGGAAUCUUGGGCAAUGGGCGAAAGCCUGACGGAGCAACGCCGCGUGGGUGAUGAAGGUCUUCGGAUCGUAAAACUCUGUUAUUGGGAAAGAAAAGAAGUAGAAGAAAAUAUGCACGUCGUGACGGUACCUAAUCAGAAAGCAACGGCUAACUACGUG
rnacentral:rRNA from 1 species